rnacentral:snoRNA from 1 species
AUCCCGUGGUGAGGGCAUUCCCUUUGGUACUCCUUAAAACGAUCCCAAGCUUCGAAGAGUGACUCAUCUCGC